AUACCGGCCUACGAUCGAAUCCCGAAAGUUACCGGAUGGGCUGUUUACUUCUCUGGUUUUUUUGGGUAACAUCCCGGCCCAUCCCAGAUCUUCCCGACCCGGUAAGCUGCACGCUCCGGUUUUCUCAGCCACGAGGUCGACCCCGUGUUUUCGGUCGUGAAAAGGGGAACGGAGCGACGGAGGCAACGCAACAGCGGCGACAGGCGGCGGGGCAAGGCGACGGCGGCGGCGGGGAAAGAACUAGCAGAUCAAGACGGCGCCGACGAGAUCCUCCUCCGGCGACUGGUCCGAUACCUGCACCUUGGCCUAUUGUUGGAUUGGAUCAACCACCUCCAUCUUGGGAAGUUGUGAGAACUCCUGUUUUUGUGUUGCAAUGAAUACACAAAGGCUAGAGCUUAUUAGGAAGAGAAGAGAGGAAGACGACGAGGAGUUCAUGUUCUUACUUCUACCAAUAUUGCACUAUCACAAAAAGCAACCUACAGCAAGGGGAACAACUUCUGAAAGUUAGCCAUACCGGUGAUGUGGUAGUUUCAGUCAGUAAAGCACACUUGGUUUUGCCUAUACUGGAACAGUAAAGCACACUUGGUUUUGCCUAUACUGGAUUUAUACAAGAUGAAUUCAGAUUU